rnacentral:lncRNA from 1 species
GGAUAGCUUUGGGAUGGGAACUGAGACCUUCAGGACCGGUGGUGGCACCUCGGGGACCUUCGGGGACACCUCGGGGACCGGAGCUGAGACCUUCAGGAGCAGUGGUGGCACCUCGGGGACCAGUGGUGGCAUCUCGGGGGGCUUCGUGGAUACCUUGGACACCAACGGUGGCAUCUCGGGGACCUUUGGGGACACCUCAGGGACCUUCAGGGACACCUUGGGGACUGGAGCUGAGACCUUCAGGAGCAGUGGUGGCACCUCGGGGACCGGUGGUGGCACCUUGGAGACCUUUGGGGACACCUUGGGGACCUUCGGGGACACCUCAGGGACUGGUGGUGGCAUCUCGAGGACCUUCAGGGACACCUCGGGGACCUCUGGUGGCACCUUCAGGACCACUGGUGGCACCUCGGGGACCUCAUGGGCCGGUCCCACUGGUUUUACUGGGGACCCCAGAGGUCCUGGUGGCCAAACUGGUCACACUGGUGGCCCAGGAGGUCCCAGGGGUCAUUUCAGUGGCCAAACCGGUUUCAGUGGCCAAACUGGUCACACUGGUGGCCCUGGAGGUCCCAGGGGUGACUUCAGUGGCCAAACUGGUCACACUGGUCAAACUGGUUUCAGUGGCCAAACUGGUCACACUGGUGGCCCUGGAGGUCCCAGGGGUGAUUUCAGUAGCCAAACCGGUUUCAGUGGCCAAACUGGUCAAGCUGAUGGCCCCAGAAGUUUUGGAGGCCCCAGAGCCCAUUUCAGUAGCCAAACUGGUCACACUGGUCA